rnacentral:lncRNA from 1 species
CUGCAGUCCCUCAACACUGAUUCGGUGAUAGGCUGUUUCAGCUCAAGAUGUGGUCUCCUUAUCCAGUCAAUAACGUCACAAUCUGAACAAACUUAGGCAAUUUGCCUUUAUGAAAUAACUACCCCAGACAAAAACAACAGUCAUUCCGCAGAGCUGCCAACUUGUACUAGCCUGGGAUCCCAGAAUUAGUCAGAACACAGUUUAUUAAGCAUAAACUCUGAAGUCCAAUAUGCCUGUAGGUAGGUCUAGGAAUUAAAACAGCGCUAUAUUGUCCCAAUGCCACACUCCGGCGGAGGUAGCAAUCAGAGGAAGGGGGCAACAGGGAAUUCUACACAUUCUAUUUCUCUACCAAACAGGCACACACACCAUACCAGGGAAGACAUGUGGACUGUAAUCCCUUCUUAGUGGAAAACACACAUUUUCAAAAUGAAUCCCCGAUCUAGAACGAAUUACCGUAAUAGCCACAGCCGGAGCGANNNNNNNNNNNNNNNNNNCAGAUCUGGCCACCUGCUUUGAGACGCCUUGGACCACGACACUGCCGGGGUCUUUAAAGGCUGGCCUUUUAGGGUAGGGCAUCUGCCCUCCUAAAUUGCCUUAAGAUUCCAGGAAAAGAGAGAAGGUGCCUCUCAUAGUCUUUGAACUAUGCUGCUCUUCCUGUAUCCAUUUCCGCUGAACACAGCCUUAUCUUUUCAAAGAGAAAAAAAGAUAAAAACAAGAGGAGAAUUGCACCACUGCAGAUUCCAAGAGAAGUAAGCACAAAACUACAGCGACGUCAAAUAAUAUCUUCAGUAACUAGGAAAAUCCCCACAUGCUGUCUGGUGUCAGCCCAGUGCAGACUGGGGUGCGCUGUGCCCGGAAUCACAGGAAGCCGGGCAGCUCUGCAGCCUGUCUCCCUGCCAGCUCCCCCCACGCGCUGAAAUUCGCCAGGAAGAACUUAUGAUGCCCAGCUUCCGUAUGCAACACAGGCAGGCAGACCACGCACCCAACACUCCGAGACUCGGCCAAGGGGCCGCGACAUCAAGAAGGCAGGGCCAUCAGAAGGCACGGGAGGAACGGGGGGUUGAGCCCUCGGAUUUUGCUGCAUUGUCACGAACUAGGAAUGUAGGGGUAGGAGCAACUGCACCUCCAGCCAAAAAUGGACCGGACGCGUUUUUCCCGGCGGCGCCCUCCCCGCCCGUGUGCAGGUCUCAAUACGACUCUGCCUGCCCUUUAGGGAGGAGAACCAUCAGAGGAGAGCCAGUGCAGAUCCCAGAUCUGGCCUCUGUCUUCUCCAGUCACAACCCGCCUUGGCUGUUUGGUGGAAGAGGUCACCCUGCUGCAUAAAGGUGAGUUUCUACUUCCUGACUUGAAUACCAGGCUUGUGAUUUUUUGGUUGAAGAACAAAUAAAAAUGUGAUCAUUUCACAUGUGAUGUGUCUUAUUUCAUAUGUUUUGAACACUUCUACCUUAUUUAUAGUAGGAAAUUUACUCUACACAAAAUUCCGCCUCCCCAGUGAACUUUUUGGAAUUGUCAUUCAUUUGUAUGAAUCUCUUAAAAAAGAAUCCCUCCUAUUUAUACCUUUUUAGUGAGUAUUUUAAUUCUUGGACUCUGUCUUUUUAUAAAUGUUAUUACUUUAAAUAGAGGAUAAUUAUUUUAGUUGGAAGAUAAUUGCUUUACAAUGUUGUGUUAGUUUCUUCUGUAUACCAACGUGAUCUCUCCCGAAGGUGAGUAUUCACCUAUCAUUUAGUGUUGAAGGCCUUGAACCCAAAAUGUAGGGGGUGACUGAAUAAAAGGUUAGAUCAUUUGUUAGGAAGUAAUCGAAGCACAGAGUAACCUGCCCAUCAUGAAGAUG